GACCAUUCAUAAACUUCAUCUGCCGAGUGUUUUCAUGGCGGCUAUGUUUGAAGACAAACUUUAAGUGUCGAAAUUCAAGUAAAGAAAGUCCUUUUAAAAUAUUUGUCCGUCAACAAAGCAACACACGAAAACACCCAUAUCUAUUUUCCUGGCGGUCUUUAACUGAUAACCUAUGGUAUAGGACUUAUAAAGCGUGCGUGCAAUGCAUUGGCAACCUAAAGAAACGAGCCUGUCUCCAUGUUGGAGCAAGAACUACGUUUCUUAUCGUUAUAAGCCCCUAAUCCAAGAUAUUUUAGGCAGAAAACCUAUUUUCUUUUUUGUUGUUUUUUUCUGCAAACGAGUAUAUAUUCUUGGGUAUUGUUGCUUAUCUUCAAAGUGGCUUUGCACUUUUGAGUUUUUAUUUUUUCUCGCAAUUUUUUUUUAUUUCUUGCCACUUUGAUUUGGUUACUAUAAAGUAUUUUUCAGCAGGAAAAUGUAAACCAUUUUCCUGUUAAAUUAAACACUUUAAAGUAAGUUAAUGACGCAAGCAUGGUGAAAAUACGUGUUUGCUUUGUGCUACACAAAACAACCAGACACCUUACAGUAAUAACUUAUAAACCUAUAGUAUACAAACAUGCAAAACGCACCCUAUUUCUAGCUGCCUGACCUUUCUAGCUAGUGCGCGUGCGCAGUACCACCUUUCAAAAACCUGCAAAGGAAACCCCUGAAAGUGGAAUCUCGGUCAUGCCCUUAGCUUAACUUAACUUAACCUAGUGUGCCAUCGCACCUGGCGAGUAUCCACAAACAGGGGUAAGGUUUGCAUGCCUUAUGUUAGUCUUCCAUGAAGCCGUUGAGCCGCAAUAACAGAGAGGGGACCUAAUCUCUGGUAGCGAACUGUUUUCAUUGAACUCGGGGCAGAAAACUAACGUUCGAAACCAGCGAUAAACAUGCACAACGGGAACUCUCCAAGACCGUUUUUUAUUAUCCGUUUAAUAAAGCCUACACUAUUUAUCUUUACAAUAAUUGUGCCGUUACAAUCCUAAGCUAAUAUUCAGCCAGUCAACUCAGUUCUCGGAAUACCCGGAGAAAACGAGUUUUGACAGAGCAUCGAUUCUUUUCCAAGAACAAUCCACCACGAUAUCCACCAAUCUUCUUACGGGUACCAUUUGCACCCUCUAAGCUAUGGAUACCAUUUGCACCCAGUUUAUUUAUCCUAUACCCAAGGAAAACUAUGCCAGCUUUUCAACUAACAAAAUUUUGGCUAAAUCCAUACAUUACGUACACGAAUAUGCAAAUCAUGUAAUGGGUUAAGGCUAAGGUUAUAG